UCUGCAAUCUAAUGAUCGUGAUUUUGUCGAGAUCUGCUAUUGAGCUAUGCACGUAUUCGGCCUCUACAAGUAUCCACUCUGACCUUCAUCUAGCACUCUUUCUUCAAAUCUGAUUUUCCUUCUUCAAAGUGAAUCUAAUGGCUCUUGAUCAGUGAUGAACCGAUCUUUGGGGCUGUCAGAUCAACACUUGUCACAGCCUUUCUUCUUCCUUC
rnacentral:lncRNA from 1 species